CCCCUUGAUAGUACAGCAAUCUAUCCUAAACAGAAAACCUAUCAAGGGAAAACCUAUACCUUGCACCUCGUCCUCUUGAGCUAGAUGAUGAUGAUCUUGGCUUCCUCAAGAUGGACCACCUUUCUUGAUUGUGUUGGCAUGAUGAAGACUAGUUGAUUGCUCCCCCAUACUCACUAUGGGUGAGCCACUCUUCAGCAUAUCUUCAUAAGUCCAUUGCCACCACAACGGACGGCAAGCUUCAAGCAUGAUAUCUUCGUGC
rnacentral:lncRNA from 1 species